GAGUACGCUGGCGGCGUGCCUAAUACAUGCAGUCGAGCGAACAGAUAAGGAGCUUGCUCCUUUGACGUUAGCGGCGGACGGGUGAGUAACACGUGGAUAACCUACCUAUAAGACUGGGAUAACUUCGGGAAACCGGAGCUAAUACCGGAUAACAUAUUGAACCGCAUGGUUCAAUAGUGAAAGGCGGCUUUGCUGUCACUUAUAGAUGGAUCCGCGCCGUAUUAGCUAGUUGGUAAGGUAACGGCUUACCAAGGCAACGAUACGUAGCCGACCUGAGAGGGUGAUCGGCCACACUGGAACUGAGACACGGUCCAGACUCCUACGGGAGGCAGCAGUAGGGAAUCUUCCGCAAUGGGCGAAAGCCUGACGGAGCAACGCCGCGUGAGUGAUGAAGGUCUUCGGAUCGUAAAACUCUGUUAUCAGGGAAGAACAAAUGUGUAAGUAACUGUGCACAUCUUGACGGUACCUGAUCAGAAAGCCACGGCUAACUACGUGCCAGCAGCCGCGGUAAUACGUAGGUGGCAAGCGUUAUCCGGAAUUAUUGGGCGUAAAGCGCGCGUAGGCGGUUUUUUAAGUCUGAUGUGAAAGCCCACGGCUCAA
rnacentral:rRNA from 1 species